rnacentral:rRNA from 1 species
UCCGUAGGUGGCAAGCGUUGUCCGGAUUUACUGGGCGUAAAGAGCGCGCAGGCGGUUGAUUAAGUCGAAUGUGAAAGCCCCCGGCUCAACUGGGGAGGGUCAUUCGAUACUGAUCGACUUGAAGGCAGGAGAGGGUAGUGGAAUUCCCGGUGUAGUGGUGAAAUGCGUAGAUAUCGGGAGGAACACCAGUGGCGAAGGCGACUACCUGGCCUGUUCUUGACGCUGAGGCGCGAAAGCUGGGGGAGCAAACGGG